rnacentral:rRNA from 1 species
AGUGAACGCUGGCGGUAGGCCUAACACAUGCAAGUCGAACGGCAGCACAGUAAGAGCUUGCUCUUACGGGUGGCGAGUGGCGGACGGGUGAGGAAUACAUCGGAAUCUACUUUUUCGUGGGGGAUAACGUAGGGAAACUUACGCUAAUACCGCAUACGACCUACGGGUGAAAGCAGGGGAUCUUCGGACCUUGCGCGAUUGAAUGAGCCUAUGUCGGAUUAGCUAGUUGGCGGGGUAAAGGCCCACCAAGGCGACGAUCCGUAGCUGGUCUGAGAGGAUGAUCAGCCACACUGGAACUGAGACACGGUCCAGACUCCUACGGGAGGCAGCAGUGGGGAAUAUUGGACAAUGGGCGCAAGCCUGAUCCAGCCAUACCGCGUGGGUGAAGAAGGCCUUCGGGUUGUAAAGCCCUUUUGUUGGGAAAGAAAAGCAGCAGGUUAAUACCCCGCUGUUCUGACGGUACCCAAAGAAUAAGCACCGGCUAACUUCGU